CUGGGCGCGGGGCCAGGGAGAGAGAGCUGCUUGGCUGAUUCUGUUUUCUUGUCCCGAGAUGCCUGGGCGGGGAAGGCUCCUAGAUCUAGCCAGCCCAGCUCACCCUCGGCGCCUGGCACCACCAGAGGCCCUGGACAGGCUAUGAAGGGCAUGUUCUUGGUGGGCACGCCAAGGUUUCCCCAAAGGGGCCACUUUUAGUCCUCCCACCCUGUGCUAACCUCUUCCAGCAAUAGCACUCAUCCCAGCUUUGCUUUGGUAUCUUUAUCUCCUCACAUAAAUCGGGUAGGCACAAAGUAGGCACUGGAUAAACGCUUACUGAUUGGUUGACUGAGGGAGAGGGGAGGUAGAAAUGCUUGUCUUUUAGGGAAACCGAGCUACCUCCUUUUCCCAGCUUCAGGCCUGUAACCUGGGAGCAAUUUUUGACAAUAACCCUCCCGCUCUGCUCUCCAACUUCUGAAUCUGAUCUCUCCCAGCAGGGACUCAGAUCGACCUCUGGUUGUCUCGGUCUCCACCGCCCCCACCCUAAUCCAGGCCUCAUCACCUUCAGUCCCAGGACUAUUGCAACAGGCCAGGUGCUCUUCACCACUUACUGUCCGUCCCCCUCCACCAACGCACAGGCUUCGGGGAGUCAUGAUCGGUAAACUGUCCAAGCCCAAGAUUUCAAUCUGGAAGCAUUCUUGGAUCCCUCAUUGGUUGGAGUAUGACUAUUAUCAAUAUUGUUGGGACCUUAUAGCUAUUGCCAACUGCGCAUCCUCUGGGCGUGGCACGCAGGACUAGCCUUGAGAGGCAGCUAAGCGCAUGGGCCCGGCCAAGGUAACCUCCAGGUCCCCAGGAACCCCGGUGCGACCUCCUCC
ensembl:lncRNA